rnacentral:tRNA from 1 species
GGGGAUGUAGCUUAGUGGCAGAGAGCUUGCUUUGCAUGUGUGAACCUCUGGGUUCAAUUCCCAGGGCCUCCA